rnacentral:rRNA from 1 species
UUCCUACGGGAGGCAGCAGUGAGGAAUAUUGAUCAAUGGGCGGGAGCCUGAACCAGCCAAGUCGCGUGAGGGAAGACGGUCCUAUGGAUUGUAAACCUCUUUAGGCGGGGAGCAAUGCUGGGCACGCGUGCCCGGAGGGAGAGUACCCGCAGAAUAAGCAUCGGCUAACUCCGUGCCAGCAGCCGCGGUAAUACGGAGGAUGCGAGCGUUAUCCGGAUUUAUUGGGUUUAAAGGGUGCGUAGGCGGAUUUUUAAGUCAGCGGUAAAAUGUCCGGGCUCAACCCGGGGCGGCCGUUGAAACUGGGG